rnacentral:rRNA from 1 species
UACGGGGGGAGCAAGCGUUGUUCGGAUUUACUGGGCGUAAAGGGCGCGUAGGCGGCCAGCACAAGUCAGUUGUGAAAUCUCCGAGCUUAACUCGGAAAGGUCAACUGAUACUGUGCGGCUAGAGUGCGGAAGGGGCAACUGGAAUUCUUGGUGUAGCGGUGAAAUGCGUAGAUAUCAAGAGGAACACCUGCGGCGAAGGCGGGUUGCUGGGCCGACACUGACACUGAGGAACGAAAGCCAGGGGAGCAAACGGG